AUGUAUGGCCAUACCACCCUGAACAUGCCUGAUUUUAUCUGAUCUUGGAAGCUAAGCAGGAUUGGGCCUGAUUAGUACAUGGAUGUGUAUGCCCCAGGUUUUAUCUGUG
rnacentral:rRNA from 1 species